rnacentral:rRNA from 1 species
GAUGAACGCUAGCGGCAGGCUUAAUACAUGCAAGUCGAGGGGCAGCAUGAUUGUAGCAAUACAAUUGAUGGCGACCGGCAAACGGGUGCGGAACACGUACACAACCUUCCAAUAAGUGGGGAAUAGCCCAGAGAAAUUUGGAUUAAUACCCCGUAACAUAACGAUGUGGCAUCACAUUGUUAUUAUAGAUUUUUCGCUUAUUGAUGGGUGUGCGGCUGAUUAGAUAGUUGGCGGGGUAACGGCCCACCAAGUCUACGAUCAGUAGCUGAUGUGAGAGCAUGAUCAGCCACACUGGCACUGAGACACGGGCCCGACUCCUACGGGAGGCAGCAGUAAGGAAUAUUGGACAAUGGACGCAAGUCUGAUCCAGCCAUGCCGCGUGAAGGAUUAAGGUCCUCUGGAUUGUAAACUUCUUUUAUAAGGGACGAAAAAAGGCUUUUCUAAGUCGUCUGACGGUACCUUAUGAAUAAGCACCGGCUAACUCCGUGCCAGCAGCCGCGGUAA